rnacentral:rRNA from 1 species
AUACGUAGGUGACAAGCGAUAUCCGGAUUUACUGGGCGCAAAGGGCGUGUAGGCGGUCUUGCAAGUCAGAAGUGAAAUUCCUGAGCUCGACUCGGGCGCUGCUUCUGACACUGCAGGACUAGAGUGCUGGAGGGGCUAGCGGACUUCCUAGUGGAGCGGUAAAAUGCGCAGAUAUUAGGAAGAACACCGGUGGCGAAGGCGGCUAUCUGGACAGUAACUGACGCUGAGGCGCGAAAGCGUGGGGAGCAAACAGGAUUAGAUACCCUGGUAGUCCACACUGUAAACGAUGAAUGCUAGGUGUAGGAGGUAUCGACCCCUUCUGUGCCGCAGUAAACACAGUAAGCAUUCCGCCUGGGGAGUACGGUCGCAAGACUGAAACUCAAAGGAAUUGACGGGG